CUUUCGAAAGAAAGAUUAAUACCCGAUGGCAUAAUGAUUCCGCAUGGUUUCAUUAUUAAAGGAUUCCGGUAAAGGAUGGGGAUGCGUUCCAUUAGGUUGUUGGUGAGGUAACGGCCCACCAAGCCUUCGAUGGAUAGGGGUUCUGAGAGGAAGGUCCCCCACAUUGGAACUGAGACACGGUCCAAACUCCUACGGGAGGCAGCAGUGAGGAAUAUUGGUCAAUGGGCGUUAGCCUGAACCAGCCAAGUAGCGUGAAGGAUGAAGGCUCUAUGGGUCGUAAACUUCUUUUAUAUGGGAAUAAAGUUGAGUAUGUAUACUUUUUUGUAUGUACCAUAUGAAUAAGGAUCGGCUAACUCCGUGCCAGCAGCCGCGGUAAUACGGAGGAUCCGAGCGUUAUCCGGAUUUAUUGGGUUUAAAGGGAGCGUAGGUGGAUUGUUAAGUCAGUUGUGAAAGUUUGCGGCUCAACCGUAAAAUUGCAGUUGAAACUGGCAGUCUUGAGUACAGUAGAGGUGGGCGGAAUUCGUGGUGUAGCGGUGAAAUGCUUAGAUAUCACGAAGAACUCCGAUUGCGAAGGCAGCUCACUAGACUGGUGACUGACACUGAGGCUCGAAAGUGUGGGUAUCAAACAGGAUUAGAUACCCUGGUAGUCCACACAGUAAACGAUGAAUACUCGCUGUUUGCGAUAUAC
rnacentral:rRNA from 1 species